rnacentral:rRNA from 1 species
CCUGCUCCUAGUACGAGAGGACCGGAGUGGACGUACCGCUGGUGUAUCGGUUGUCAUGCCAAUGGCAUUGCCGAGUAGCUAUGUACGGAAGAGAUAACCGCUGAAGGCAUCUAAGCGGGAAACUCGUCUGAAGAUUAGGUAUCCCGGGGGCUAGACCCCCCUGAAGGGUCGUUCGAGACCAGGACGUUGAUAGGUCGGGUGUGUACGCGCAGCAAUGCGUUUAGCUAACCGAUACUAAUUGCCCGUGCGGCUUGAUCCUAUAACCCUAUCGGGUUGUA